UACGUAGGGUGCGAGCGUUGUCCGGAAUUAUUGGGCGUAAAGAGCUCGUAGGCGGUGUGUCACGUCGGCCGUGAAAACCUGCAGCUUAACUGUGGGCGUGCGGUCGAUACGGGCAGACUUGAGUUCGGUAGGGGAGACUGGAAUUCCUGGUGUAGCGGUGAAAUGCGCAGAUAUCAGGAGGAACACCGGUGGCGAAGGCGGGUCUCUGGGCCGAUACUGACGCUGGAGGAG
rnacentral:rRNA from 1 species